GGGGCUGUAGAUCAGUGGUAAAGUGCUUGCCUCAAAAGUAUGAGGCACUAGGUUCGAUCCCUAGCACCACA
rnacentral:tRNA from 1 species